GCCCUGGUAGCUCAAUUGGUUAGAGCGUCGGACUUUUAUGGGUCUUCUAUGAGAGUCAUCCGAAGGCUGCGGGUUCGACCCCCGCCUGGGGCG
rnacentral:tRNA from 1 species